ACGGGAGGCAGCAGUGGGGAAUCUUCCGCAAUGGGCGAAAGCCUGACGGAGCAACGCCGCGUGAGUGAAGAAGGUCUUCGGAUCGUAAAGCUCUGUUGAGAGGGACGAGAGAUUACUUCAGGAAAUGGGAGUAAGAGGACGGUACCUUUCGAGGAAGCCACGGCUAACUACGUGCCAGCAGCCGCGGUAAUACGUAGGUGGCGAGCGUUGUCCGGAAUUAUUGGGCGUAAAGGGAGCGCAGGUGGGACUUCAAGUCAGUCUUAAAAGUGCGGGGCUCAGCCCCGUGAUGGGAUUGAAACCGUAGUUCUUGAGUGCAGGAGAGGAAAGCGGAAUUCCUAGUGGAGCGGUGAAAUGCGUAGAUAUUAGGAGGAACACCGGUGGCGAAGGCGGCUUGCUGGACUGUAACUGACGUUGAGGCUCGAAAGCGUGGGGAGCAAACAGGAUUAGAUACCCUGGUA
rnacentral:rRNA from 1 species